AAAGAGGUGAAUGUAGUCCUAUGAGAGAGCUGUUGAGAAAGCUGAAUGUUGAGUUUGUGCUGUGGCAUCCAGCAAAAUUAAAAACUAUUCCGCACACUGUGACAGCGUAUUUCCUGGAACCAGGGGUUGCUUCCAGACAUCUGGACAAGACUGACGCUGUGGGGGAUAUUGAGAAGAAUCAUGAGAUAUGCACGUGGCAUCGCUGGGAAUUUUAGUGCUGCCAUGGCAGCAACUGUGUUAGAUUCUUGCUUUUGGAAGUUUUAAAAAUGUUCAGUAUUGAGGCUGGGGUCAGGCAAGGCAGGGGCUGUGAGCGAGGGAUGCCCCUGGGAACAGCUGUGCAAAGCUGGCUGAAAUUGCCAGAGCUCUGUAAAACACAAGAGUCCUCGGUUUGGUCUUCCAUGGCAGAUCAAGGUCACCCUUAAGGAGCUCUGCCUUUGCCGCUUGACACGGGGUCUCUCCCCCGGGGCUCUCGGGGGAACCGGCCUGCACCGAGCGAGCGCGCCGAGGAUGCCGCGGCUCAGAGGCACUCGCGACCCGCAACAUUUCAAGUGCACGUGACGCGGGCGCCAGAGGAACAAGGCAGGGACGGAUAGGCAGGCGGUGCUCAGAGAGCUCAGAUCCCGCUUACGGCCGCAGGUGUGCGUUACCUGGGUGGGGAAGGCGGCACCGCUCGCUGCCAGCCGGGGCCGGGGGUUCCCGCGCCGCGUGACGCCCUCUCGGCUGGGCAGCCGCCCGCGUUCACAUCAGCGCUGCACCAAUCUCUAUACUCGAGCACAUAAAAAAAGAAAGUGCGAUGCUGCAAAUGUACUAUUGGCUCAGAUUCACCUUUUCAUGUCAGGGUGUGAUGUGGAGUUCUUGUUAGAAAUAAUUCCUAAGGAGUAACUGAGACUGACCUGAAAUGCAACAUACCCUUCUGUAGGAACAAUCUGCCUGGUAAUCUGUUUCUUAUGUUUAACUAAUGCUCGACCCUUAAUAUUACCAAACUAAGCACUUCUUAUUGGCCUCUCAAAUAAUGAAAAAUAACUGCAGACCUUUCAAAGGGGCUUCUAAAAGCCCUUUCAAAUAAAGAUUUCCAAAGUGUAUGCUUGUCUCUACAGCACAGAAAAUUUGCACCAUCCCUGGCAACUUCUCUGCUGAGUAGAAUACAUGCAUAUCAACCUGAUUUUAACAGGUCACAGAAUAAGUCGGGCAUUUAAAAAUAUCUGCUUUCUUAAAAAGACAAAUGAAUAUAUCUUGUGUGGAGCCUUCAGCAAAGAUUGUUGAAACAAAACAAACAAAACAAUCGUGGUAAUCUUUUAGGUAAGACUUAUAAUGUAGAACAACUUGUCAGUGCAGGUUAAAGUUUUAAGGCCUAGCAAUUUUGACAGUGUCCCUUUAAGCACAGCGAAAGCACAGGGACUAGUAGGACAGGAAAAGGUCACUUGGUCACACGUAUCUGCUGCCUCUUUUAAGUUUAUCUCAAGACCCACGAGGCUUGUCCCAAUUAAUUAUUUAAAUAUGCGGGGAAAAUAUUUCUGUAGAUAAAAAGCUACAAUCAAGUUCUGGGGAAGCUACAGGAUGGCUAGUGUCAAAAAUAGUGCUAAAAAGAAGCUGAGACAUGAUAUCCAAUCUACAAGCUUAAGACGCUAAGAGAAGUGAUUUCUAUGUAGCAACAUUUAUAUGUUUCUUUGAAACGCACAUACAGUAUCAGUGAAAUGGGAACUUCUGGAUUUUCACAUAUCCCUUUGUUUUCUGCUAAACAGUUAUGUACUGCAAAAGGUCACCAAACCCAAAUUGACAAGCUACAUGUGGUUAUUUAAAAUAACUUUAUUUCCAUAGACAACUAUCGAUUAUGUUGUUAGCCAUCCAGAUAAGUUUCUUAUAAGUAUAUGGAUAGUCUGAAACCGUUUGUCCCAGAUGUUACUCAAAUGCCUAUAAAUUAAAGCAAUGAGAGAACAAUGAUUGUGAAAUGGACAUUCGGAAGAGGACAAGAGAUUCAAACCUUUUAUUUCCUUGGUAAUGCAUUGGAAUAGUAGUCUAAGGCUUUCCAAGGGAUUAUGUGUGUCUUCAAACAGGCUUUCUAUGAUUUUUCUCUAACUCAAUGGAGAAAUUAUGUGGAUAAAAAGCGAAUGCACAUACUCACUUGGUAUGAUUUUGGUCUGUCACUGUUUCAGGGAAAAAACGAGUAAUACGUCACAAAUUCCAGAAAGCCUUUUCCAUUCCAUUUUUGGAAUAUAAUCUCUCCCUAUGCCACAUAUAAAGAGAAAGGAAAUUAAAAAAAAAAAACUAUAUUUUUACUUCCUGCCGCAUCAAAAAUCUUUAAAUGACAGAAAAUAAAUACAUUUAAAUGGUCAAAACAGUUUUCCAUAACAGAUUGUCUUUCUUUUCUGUCUCUCUACCAAGCAAAUUAAUAUUCUCUAUUAGAUCUAGCUCAGCUGUGAGCCCCAGAAAAAUAUUGAUACUCUACCUGCAUUCUUGCACAUUGCUUCUUGGCAUUUCCUGGCUCUCCUACAGCAAAGAGGCCUAUGCUACCAUUCCAGGGAGAGGCCAAUUAAUUAUUGUGUUUGUUCUGCAACAAAUAGUGUGACCCGUGACCUUAUUCUUUUAAAACUGCAGUUUUUGCAUUUGGUUCUGUGACUCAGAGCUGAUUUGUUAUCUUUAUGUAACAGCAAAUGAUAAGACAUAAAUAUGAUGAUAACACAUUACCUUUGUUUUAAUAGAAAAAGGAACCUCUUUUUCUUUUCAGUCACGUGCACGCACACAUGCACACGCACCCAUAGUGGAUUUUUAACCAUCUGUUGCAGUUUAAGGGGGAAAUAUUUGUGCGAAUCUCCUACUUAAACACUGGCCAUGCUGCCGUGGAUCCGCUGGUAAACUGAGUAUCUGGUAUGAAGCAACACAGGCGGAUUUCUGAAUAACAGUGGAUACCAGCAGCCGGAGAUGGGAACAUUUUAAAAUGUUUAAUUGUAGCCAAGUACUUUUGUCUUCUAAAGGUGGGACCUACAAUGGACUCUGUUUGAAAAAAAUCUCAAUAUAGAGACUCUGCUUCUGUU